rnacentral:rRNA from 1 species
AAGAUUAAGCCAUGCAUGUCUAAGUAUAAGCAACUUGUACUGUGAAACUGCGAAUGGCUCAUUAAAUCAGUUAUCGUUUAUUUGAUAGUACCUUACUACAUGGAUACCUGUGGUAAUUCUAGAGCUAAUACAUGCUAAAAACCCCGACUUCAGGAAGGGGUGUAUUUAUUAGAUAAAAACCAACGCCCUUCGGGGCUCCUUGGUGAAUCAUAAUAACUUAACGAAUCGCAU